rnacentral:lncRNA from 1 species
GAGAAAUAAAUUAUUCUGCACUAACUAAAAUUUAAAAAGUUUUCACAAAAUAAAUUUCAAUAUACACAUUUGUACUAAUCAAUUAGUAACAUCUGUAAUAUAUAAAUCUUGUACAAUAAUAAAAAAUUGAAGGAAAAACUAGCCAAUGUGAGGCUUGAUUAUAACAUAGAUGAGAAAUAAUGUACAAAAUUUUGUAAUGAACAUAAGUAUUUGCUUGAUGAUUCAUGUUGCACCUUCGUCGCACUCCCCUUGAUCUUCAUACAUCCAAGAAUAUAUGAAGCACUCUUAUUAGACUGAAAUAAUGAAAUAAUAAGAUCUUGUGAGAAAUUUAUAUUUGAAUUACCAAAACAUAUAAAGAUGCAUUUAAUGUUAAUAAUUAAAAAUGUUGAAUGAAUCAUGGAAUAAGAAAAAAAAAAAAAUAGCCAUGAAUCAGGUGAAAAAGGAUCUAAAGUUUUUUCCAACACAGAGGACAAAUGAGAAAGCAUUUAAAUAAAUAUCAUAAAUUUAAGGAGAUGGAAAAAAGAAGUAAAACUUACAGUUUAGCAUUAGAAGGAAUUGAAAUUUCUCAAAGGCACAUCUUUCUUGAGUAUCCUGUAAAUAAAAACAAACAAUUGAAGCAGAAACCCAAGUUAUGUAAGACACAAACCUACCAAAUUUUCAAAGUCGCACUUAUUACUUAUAAAAUAUAAGGCAUAAUAUUUAUCGAAUUACUGAAAUAACUCGUAAAUUGAAGUUAAAAAUCAAACCCAAGUAAAUGUGAAUGAGAUUCAAAAACCCUACAAUAUAGACACAUCAGCUUACCUGGGAAGAAACAAACCAACAAGUUAAAUUUUUGUCCAAUAGAGAAGCAGUAGGGAUACAAUUUCCUCUUUGUCUUUCUCACGGCCGUAAGUUACCACCGACUAUGGAAGAAAGACGUAAGAAAAUGGGAAGGAGAGUGGCGGCUGAGGGAGAAAGUUUAGGUUUAGAUUUUAGAUUUACUUGUUGUACUUCAUAUAUAAGCUGUGUUAGUUUACUUCUAAU